GAUCCUGGCUCAGGACGAACGCUGGCGGCGUGCCUAACACAUGCAAGCCGAACGAGAAUCCGUGGAAGGAGGCUUCGGCCAACGGAAGCGGAGGACAGUGGCGGACGGGUGAGUAACGCGUGAGCAACCUGCCUUGGAGUGGGGGACAACAGAGGGAAACUUCUGCUAAUACCGCAUAAUGUGCCGGGAGGGCAUCUUCCUGGUACCAAAGAUUUAUCGCUCUAAGAUGGGCUCGCGUCUGAUUAG
rnacentral:rRNA from 1 species